UGUGAGGGGUGAAAUAGGCGCUCGUCUCCGCUCGGCGUCUAUUCUCUAGCAGUGAUUUACAAGCUUUCGCUGCAGCGCUGCCACUGCCCGACGUUGUCAUGAAGAUCCUCGCGUACCUUAGCAUCGUCGCGGUUGGACUCGCGUGCGUAGCAGCACAUUUGGUUGCAGGAGGACAACACGGUUCUGUUCGGGGAAGAUGUGACCCACGUUUACUCAUUCGUUUCGGGGGUUACGCAAUCCCCGGACCCUGCGGCGGGCACAAUGGCUGAUGGCUCGGGCGAUGCGUCAAGGAUGCGUCCCUGGACAUUACUGAAGAGACUGAAAAGCGCACUAGCUACUACUGAAUAUGCCGAAUAAAUUAUUUUUUCAGCUGGCA
rnacentral:lncRNA from 1 species